GUAAUCCCAGUGAGAGGAUUGAAGCUAUGUUAAGUUCAAGAAGUAUGUAGCCACCACAUUUUCAUUUGAGCAGGGUGAGAGAGAUGUUUCCAGUGUCCCAGUGUGGAAUGGAAUGCAUAAGAUAGGCCUCUCACCAAAUUUGGAGAUCACUGAUUCGGUUAAACUGGCUGGCCAGUGAGCCCUCAGGGGCCUCCUGUUUCUGCUUUCUCAGAGCUGGGAUUAGAGGUUAACGUAGAAGACACCUGCUUCAUAGCAACAGCUCUACCAUCCUCAGGCCUUAGGGUCCGACUGAGGACUAGUGGGCUCCUGAUGACCUGGCAUUGCAAACUCCAGCUAUUCCUCAACGAGGUGGCACCCAGUCACUAGCAUCAGAGUGAAAAGGUGCUUCCUUCUGUGUGACCCAUCCCCUUCCCAUCGGCCAUUGACAAAGCAAGUUGAUUCUGUUUUCAGUCCCCUCAAUUCAUGAUGUCUAGGAAAUCUGUCUUAUCAUUGGCAUUGCAGGAAAUUUAAAGCUGUUUAAGUAAGUUGAAGUGCUCAUAAGAUGAGGCUGAACAUUUUAAACCCUUUCCCCAAGAACAUUAUUUUAAUGGUAUUAGUUUUAUAAUAAAUUGAGCACUUAAUUUAAA